UUGGUUGCCGGGGGCCGCAGUGCACGCCGGGAGGGAAAGGAAAUCAGGUUUCUCUCCUGGGGCGGCCAGGUGAGUUGUGGCUACCGCGCUGCCCUGCUCUGCUCCGCUGAGACGUGGUGUCAGGGCCGGCCCUCCCGGCAGUGCCCUGGGGCGUCCUAGGAGCGGUCCUCCCGUCCUGGACGCGACGAAUGCUUCCGGAAGCCGUGGGAAGAAAUUCCGGGCAGCAGAGGUAACUUCACAGGGGAGGCGCGUAGGAGCUGGCUGGAGGGAUUGGAGGAGGCCGACUUCUCUGGUGAUUGGCUGGGAGUUCUUGUGUACAGCGUACAGCAUUGGCAGUACCUGUCCAAUGGUUACAAUACCCGAAACAGGUAUGUAAAAUCAAGCUGAUACAUGGAUAGAGGUUCCCAUUUUACCUGGGAGGACCUGACAAGAAAACGCCAGUCUGCUAUGUAAAAAGACACAUUCUCCUAUACCAAAAGGAUGCAGCAAAUUAGUCAUUAUUCCUAAUUAUUAUUAUCAUUCUCCUAUUACAGGUGAGGCUUCAUAGGCACAGAGAGGUUAGGUCAGCUCCCGAGAGUCACUCAGGUUUCAAGUGCUUGAGUCCCAGAGCACCUAAUACUCGAUAUGUCCCAAGCUGAACCCAUCCACCCCCACUCUCUGGACACCUGCCCCUCCUCAGUGGUGCCUAACACAGUGAAAAGCAGCACCUUCUGCCCAGCAGCUUAGGCCGGGGAUCUUUAAAGCCAUCCCGAUUGCUGCCUUUCUCUCACCACCCCCACAGUGGCUAAGUCUGGCCACUUUGACCUCCCACGUCUAAGUAAGGUCUUUACACUUCUCUCCAUUACAACAGGAAGUUCCCUAGUCCAGUCACACUCAUCUCUCUCCUUGUCGACCACCAGGGUCAUCAUAGCUAGUCUUCCCACUGCCAGCCUUGUCCCCUUGUCCCCCAAGCAUCCUCUGUCCCAGUGCCUGAUGGACCUUUCAUAACUCCUUGUGGUGUCGUAUUACCCCUGCUCAAACUCUGCAGGGGCUGCUUGUUGCUCUUAGGAUAAUGUCCAACCUCCCAGACUAGGCACAUCUGGCCCAGCCUACCUCAAAACACCUCAGCUGUAGCAGACACCUGCUGCUGCACCCCACACUUAAUGUUCCAGACAUCUAAACCUUUGUGUUCAUCGGAUGCCCACCCAUGCCCUCUCUGUCCCUCCCUCUCUCUCUGCUGUCUACAGCCUUACACCUGCUGUCCCUUCUGUCUGGCCUGCACUUCCUCCCUCCUCCUCUGCCUGAUUCCUGCUUACCUUCAGCCCUAAGGUUAAGGAGAGCCAUUUCUAUUUUACCUUGGGAGUAUCUGGAUAAAAAGGCACACUUACUGGUUCAAUAUUUUUACUGAUGGGCAUGUGUUGGAGAUCCUUUUAAAUCCCCAAAUGGACCAGUGAAUGGGAAAUACAGUCUGGGGGCAGGGUUUUCUGGGGCCCUGACAUGCUUGCCUCCUCACUGAGGUGUCCCUAACACAUGGCACAAUGUGAAUGGGACUUCCUGGAGCCUGGCUAGCGAGGACUUAGUGUGUGCUGCGCAUGUCUGAGUUUUAUUUCCCAAAGACCUAGAGAAGUAAGUGUCAAAUCCUCCAUCUACAAACAAGGACCCAAACUGAAAAAGGUUAGGUCGCCGAUGCUGAAAAGGCUGCAUCUGGGAAUCACACAUCUGGUUCUGUGUGACUCCAAAGCCAGGCCUCUGUCCACUCCACUCACACACUUUCCACGACAGACUUUGCUUGAGUCCCCCUUGACGGGAUGCAGAUACUGUCCUGUGAUGGGAUAGCGUCUUUCCAACACCGUGUCCCUGUGAAAUGCAGGACAAAGACACCUUGAAAGGCCCUAAGAUGCUGCAUGUCUUCCAUCUGAGGAGCUCUCCUGGAGUCCCGUGGUGUGAAAGGCUUGCCCGGGAGCUAACAGCUGAGCAGGACUUUGACUUCUAGGGCUCCUCUAGGGGAGGCACUUUGCCAUAUGAGAGCGACUUUUGCAGUCUACCCCCACCCCCAAAUUAUGUCUCCAUUGGCCUCACUCUGUUUAACAGAUAAGAAUAUGGAGGGAAACAGCCAGAGGGAGUGUUUUUAGUGGCUGCCACACAGCUCUGGAGUUGAUCAGACUGAAAGGUGGUUUGGAGCCCCAAAGACCAACCAGGAGUGGAAACCUGCUCCUGCUGUGUUGAGCUCUCUGUUCUCAGCGCUCUCUCGUGUAAAGUGUGGAUAACCAAAGGGUCUACCGCACAAACCUCUCCUGACCAGAGAAGUCUGUCCUGACAGGAGCCUCUCACGCACACACCCCUUGGGCGAGGAGGAAGGGGUGUCCUGAGGGCACCAUGAGUUCUGCCAUUGCUCGCCUCACCCCACCUCAGCUCACCUGCUCAGAGGGGAUAGUGCAGUGCAUCCCUGCAUCCACCACCUGUGUCCAGUACGUAGAGACCUCCUGUCCAUUUGGCUCUUAGGACAUGUUCAUUCAGUGAAUGAAGGACCUUGGUCCAGGGUGCUGGUCAGUAAUGGGCAGCUGUGACCGUAGCAGUUCUUUCAGCACUAGAAAUGGUACAGGAGAACUGAGUGAGCAGAGGACAUCUCUACAGUCACAUUCUCUUCCGUUUGGGUUGAGGGAAGAGGAUAGUAUCUUUUAUCCCAUCCCUAAUUCCAGAACUCCUAAUAAAAGAGGCUACUAAAUUCUUUAGACACGUGUUGACUGAUCUGUUCCACUGUGAGUCUCAGGUCUAGCCUCCCAGUGGGACCGCACUGGUCAGUCCCCAGAAGUUUCCCAUGUCCCUGUGGCCAGUGCACAUAGUUGCACUGUUCAUUUGGAGAAUGGUUGAGUGAACUCAGGCCUGCUAAUUGAAUAUGUGGUCCUGUGGCUACAGCCCAGAUGUCCGCGGCGACCAAGACAUGAGGACAGGAUGAAGACAUGAGUCAAGUUCAGGUAACCUCUGUCCACCUCACCUGGUUGUCUUGGCUGUUUGCCCAAACCAUCCUGUCUUAGACUGGUCUUCCCCUGUGUCCCUGCUUUGCCUGAACUUAGCUGGUCCACACAGAUGUGCCCUCAGUAUCUAUGUCCCUUGGUUGUCCUUCCUGGUCUAGCUGACUGACCAGAAGCUUACUUGGCCCAGCAGGAUCCUGUCCCUGUUACCUCCUGUCCCUGUUCAGCCCUUACCCCUGCUCUCAACUGCACUGACAUCCUUGUAGCAUCUUUGCUGUGCUGGGCAUGCUCUGCCUCUGACACUUUCCCCCACCUGUUCUCUCUGGAAAGCCCUGACUCCACAAACCUGCUUGGCUGACUCUUCUACCCAUUCACGUCUUUGUCAAAAUGUCACCUUCUCAAUGCAGCCUACCCAGGUCACUCUGUUUAAUAGUUUAAGCCGCAGCUAACCCAGUUCAUCCGCACAUUCCUGAGCUUAUUACCAUGAUCUAAAUACUUUUUCUUUUUUUCACAGCCCCCAUCACCUCCUAACAUACUGUCCAGUUGAUUAAAUUACCACAUGGAGCGUUU